UACGUAGGGGGCAAGCGUUAUCCGGAUUCACUGGGCGUAAAGGGAGCGCAGGCGGCGCGGCAAGUCUGAUGUGAAAGCCCGGGGCUCAACCCCGGGUCUGCAUUGGAAACUGUCGAGCUAGAGUGUCGGGGGGGUAAGCGGAAUUCCUAGUGUAGCGGUGAAAUGCGUAGAUAUUAGGAGGAACACCAGUGGCGAAGGCGGCUUACUGGACUGUAACUGACACUGAGGCUCGAAAGCGUGGGGAGCAAACA
rnacentral:rRNA from 1 species